GAUGAACGCUGGCGGCGUGCCUAAUACAUGCAAGUCGAGCGAACAGAUAAGGAGCUUGCUCCUUUGACGUUAGCGGCGGACGGGUGAGUAACACGUGGGUAACCUACCUAUAAGACUGGGAUAACUUCGGGAAACCGGAGCUAAUACCGGAUAACAUUUGGAACCGCAUGGUUCUAAAGUGAAAGAUGGUUUUGCUAUCACUUAUAGAUGGACCCGCGCCGUAUUAGCCAGUUGGUAAGGUAACGGCUUACCAAGGCGACGAUACGUAGCCGACCUGAGAGGGUGAUCGGCCACACUGGAACUGAGACACGGUCCAGACUCCUACGGGAGGCAGCAGUAGGGAAUCUUCCGCAAUAGGCGAAAGCCUGACGGAGCAACGCCGCGUGAGUGAUGAAGGGUUUCGGCUCGUAAAACUCUGUUAUUAGGGAAGAACAAAUGUGUAAGUAACUGUGCACGUCUUGACGGUACCUAAUCAGAAAGCCACGGCUAACUACGUG
rnacentral:rRNA from 1 species